rnacentral:rRNA from 1 species
GGACUACUGGGGUAUCUAAUCCUGUUUGCUCCCCACGCUUUCGAGCCUCAGCGUCAGUAACGGACCAGUAUGUCGCCUUCGCCACUGGUGUUCUUCCGAAUAUCUACGAAUUUCACCUCUACACUCGGAGUUCCACAUACCUCUUCCGUACUCAAGACUGCCAGUAUCAAAGGCAAUUCCAAGGUUGAGCCCUGGGCUUUCACCUCUAACUUAACAGUCCGCCUACGCUCCCUUUACGCCCAGUAAUUCCGAGCAACGCUAGCCCCCUUCGUAUUACCGCGGCUGCUGGCAC